rnacentral:rRNA from 1 species
GAAUUCACUAGUGAUUAGAGUUUGAUCCUGGCUCAGAUUGAACGCUGGCGGCAUGCCUUACACAUGCAAGUCGAACGGCAGCGGACCUUCGGGUGCCGGCGAGUGGCGAACGGGUGAGUAAUGUAUCGGAACGUACCUUUCAGUGGGGGAUAACGUAGCGAAAGUUACGCUAAUACCGCAUAUUCUGUGAGCAGGAAAGCAGGGGAUCGCAAGACCUUGCGCUGAUUGAGCGGCCGAUAUCAGAUUAGCUAGUUGAUGAGGUAAAGGCUCACCAAGGCGACGAUCUGUAGCGGGUCUGAGAGGAUGAUCCGCCACACUGGAACUGAGACACGGUCCAGACUCCUACGGGAGGCAUCAGUGGGGAAUUUUGGC